rnacentral:tRNA from 4 species
GGGCCGUUAGCUCAGUUGGCAGAGCAGCUGACUCUUAAUCAGCGGGUCGUAGGUUCGAGCCCUACACGGCCCACCA